GGGUAGUAGCCACUCAAGGGGUGUGGUGGAAGCGGGAGGGGCGGGGCCAAAGUUUCCCUUGGCAGGAGGCGGAUGAGAGGCGGGGGCCAGGGGAGGGGCCCAGGACUCAAUGCUCCUGAUUAGGCAAGAGCUGGCAGCUGGUGGAGAGCUGAGUCCCUUUUCUAGAAGUAGAGUCCUACCUUUUCCUCCCCUCUCCCCUAGUGUAUCCUUUGCAGACCCUCGGACCUGGACACCGUUUGGUGCGCUUCUGUGGGCACAUUCCCCUACUGAUUCAUGCAUCUGUCAACUGAAGUAUCACGCCGCUGGUUGUAGGUUCCACAGCCACCUCCUCAGAGCCUCAUCACUCCUGUGCUUCCCCAGCUGCCUACCCAGUAAAAAGCUGAUGACAUUUUUGGAGGCCAGGGCGGAUCUGAGGCCCUUUCAGCUGUGCUCUCUUCCUGAAGCCAUCUGUCGUGUCAACUAGUCAUGGAUAAAGAAGCCUCUGAGGUCAGUCCCAGCCCACCUACAGUGACCAUCAAGAAGAAAGAUAAAAGUGCAAGAUCCGAAAAGUUCUCCAAAAAUGUUCUGAUCUUUUUACUGGGGAGGCAGCUGGGGAGGCACAGGAGUGACGUGGACCUGUCAAAGUGGCUGUGGAUGCUGACAUGAGCUGCCCCAGGGUGGAGCUGGCCAUGGCCAGUGAGUCCUAAAACCUACCUGCUCAUGCCUGUCUGUAACUUUAGAAAAAA